AUUGAACGCUGGCGGCAGGCCUAACACAUGCAAGUCGAGCGGAUGAAGGGAGCUUGCUCCUGGAGUCAGCGGCGGACGGGUGAGUAAUGCCUAGGAAUCUGCCUGGUAGUGGGGGAUAACGUCCGGAAACGGGCGCUAAUACCGCAUACGUCCUGAGGGAGAAAGUGGGGGGUCUUCGGACCUCACGCUAUCAGAUGAGCCUAGGUCGGAUUAGCUAGUUGGUGGGGUAAAGGCCUACCAAGGCGACGAUCCGUAACUGGUCUGAGAGGAUGAUCAGUCACACUGGAACUGAGACACGGUCCAGACUCCUACGGGAGGCAGCAGUGGGGAAUAUUGGACGAUGGGCGAAAGCCUGAUCCAGCCAUGCAGCGUGUGUGAAGAAGGUCUUCGGAUUGUAAAGCACUUUAAGUUGGGAGGACGGGCAGUAAGUUAAGCCCUGGCUGUUUUGACGUUACCAACAGAAUAAGCACCGGCUAACUUCGG
rnacentral:rRNA from 1 species